UACAGAGGGGGCAAGCGUUGUUCGGAAUUACUGGGCGUAAAGGGCGCGUAGGCGGCCUUCUAAGUCGAACGUGAAAUCCCCGGGCUCAACCCGGGAACUGCGUCCGAUACUGGAAGGCUUGAAUCCGGGAGAGGGAUGCGGAAUUCCAGGUGUAGCGGUGAAAUGCGUAGAUAUCUGGAGGAACACCGGCGGCGAAGGCGGCAUCCUGGACCGGCAUUGACGCUGAGGCGCGAAAGCUAGGGGAGCAAACGGG
rnacentral:rRNA from 1 species